GCAGCGCGUAGUGCCCCGCGUCCUCCAGCGUCGCCUCGUUGAUGAUGAGGUGGUGUCUCUGCCCGUCCUUCUUGAACCGGUAUUUGAAGGUCUCCUCCCUGGUCAGCUCCACCCCAUCCUUCAGCCUGGCCGGUGGGCGGGCGGGUCCCGGCCUCCCAGGGGCCCCGGUCCAGGCCCACCUUUGACGAACAGCUCGGUGCUGCACUUCUCCCCGCCCACCACGCACUGGUAGGCCGCGUCAUCGGCCAGCGAGCACUGGCUGAUGGUCAGCGUGCGCUUGGCACCCACGGACUCGAAGAUGUACCUGUGCCGGGGGCCGGGGGCGGGGCAUGGAUGGACGGCCGUCACUCACCUCGUGUGUCCCAGGUGCCCCGUCCAACCCCCUCCUCCCGUCGGACCGUGCCCCCACCCCCGAGCCUUCCUUCCCGGAGCUGGGCCUUACUUGCUGUGGAGCAGAAGGGGCCACGGGAGCAUCCAGGCGGGAGGAAGCGAGACCCGGAGCAAAAGGGCGAGGAACAGAGACAGGCAGAAACAGAAAGAUGGGCAAUUAGACCCAGGGAGAGGAAAAUGGGGAGAGACACGCAGGGCAGAAGCCGCACAGAGACAGAGAACACGGCAGCGGGGGGCCGUGAGAGGCACGGAGAGCAGGCUGGGAGCCUCCCUGCCCCCGCUGCUCCCAGGACUGCACCUGCCCCCCCCCCCCAGCCCCACCGCACCUGCCGCUCAUCUGGAUCUCCUGUCCAUUCUUCAGCCACUUGACCUCGGCGUCGGGGUCGGCCAGCUCCACGGUCAGCCGGAUCUUGUGGCCCUUGCUCACCUGGUAGGCGGGCUCCAGCUUCUUCUGAAAGGCUGAGCACCUCCGUCAGCACCCCCACUGCCCUGCCGCCCCUGCUGCCCCAGAAGGCUCACACGCAUCGCCGUGGCUGGUGGCCGUGCCACUGGGCCGAGUCCUCCCACCGCACUCUGCCUGUGUCCCCCAUUUUCUCUAUCUCCACUGUGCCUGUCUCUUAUUAUCUCUGUCUGUUCUAUGUGUCUGUCUCCUCUCUCUUUGUCCUUCUGCCUUCCUUGGGGUCCCCUCCACCUGCUCAGCUCAGGGAUAGGGUUAGCGGCUCCCAGAGAGACAGAAGCUUGGCCGGAGAGGGAGACAGCAGCCAAAGGGACCUUCUCUCCUUCUUGACUCUGCUUUACAGCACCCCCCAGGCUUCUACUCAGUGAGGAGGGCCCAGCUGUGCUCUGUCCUCUUCUUGUGGUGUCUCUGGUCUAAGCUGACUCUUACCUUUUCGUGUGUGUGUGUGUGUGUGCUCGCGCGCACGUGAGUGUGUGCGUGCGCGCACGUGAGUGUGUGCGUGUGCCCUCUCCUCUUGCACGGCAGCAGAGGGCUAACCUGUGCUCUUCUUCUCGUCUCGCUUCAUGCCCUUGAGCCUCUUGAGCAUGCCGCGCAGGUCGGUGAUGCCGUGCUGGAAGGCGAUGCGCUCAUAUUCGGAGGGGGAUGCCUGCCGCAGGAUCUCCCACACGUCCUCCUCGGCUGGCGCCUCCAGCCUCGGGUCCCUGCGUCCAGCAGAGAGGCCUCAAGGGAAUUCCCUCUGGCUGGGGGGGGGGGGAGGAGGGGCAGGCAGGACUGUUGCCCCCCGCCCUCCCCUGGGGUGGGGCUUCCUGGGGCCCAGGACCCCUCUGGUGGUGCCGCUUCGGCUGGCUUUGGACCUCGAGUUCAGUAUGGGGGAGUCCUGGUGGAAGUGGGGGUGACGGGGGCGCAGGCUUCAUCACGCGCUCACCUUAGGUUCCGGAAACUGCUGCUCCGGGCAGGACAAAAAGGCAGUAGACCAUUAGAGGCAUGGGCCACCUGCCCACAAAGGCCCCGGGGCCACAGCCCGUGGGCCUUCACCCCUCCCUUCUCCCCACACCAGUGUCCCUCCAUUUACACAGCAGGGCCUUCCCCACACAGGGCCUUGUUUGUUCCUCCUGAGCUCUGGCAGGUGAGUAUCUGGAGAACCAAAACUCAGAGACGCCCCAGGCAGUGGGGAUCCACACUCAGGUCUGUCUGAUUCCCAGCCCUGUCUGUCACCAGGGUACAGAGUCCCACCAACACCCUGUUGCCCCCAAACACCGGCCCCCGAUGCUUACUCUCUAGGCCGCGGCAGCAUCAGCCACAACGCAGGGUCCAGGAGAGAGAGGGAGAGGACACAGAGUCAGCUGGAGGGGCUGGGGGAGAAAUCCCUGCAGCUUGGCGCCCCCUCCCAGCUUCUUGUGAGUCCCUGGAGUCUACUGAGGCAAGCUCUCAUGGACUCAAGCGUCAGGGGUCGUGGGGGACCCUGGGAGGAUGUUAGUUCACAAGAUAUCAUGUCUGCAGAGCCCUCUGACUCUUCCCAACACCAGGAUUAUCCAAUUUUUUUUUUAAUGCUUAUUUAUUUUUGAGAUACAGAGUGAGACAGAACACAAGGGGAAGAGGGACAGAGAGAGGAGACACAGAAUCCGAAGUAGGCUCCAGGUCUGAGCCAUCAGCACAGAGCCCGAUGCAGGGCUCGAACCCACGAACAGUGAGAUCGUGACCUGAGCCGAAGUCGCCAUUUUACUGACUGAGCCACCCAGGCACCCCUAGGAUUAUCCCCUUUGACAGACAGGGAAAUUGGUUUAGAGAGGUACAGUAACCAGCUCAGGGCCACACAGCCGGAAAACCGCAUUGCUGGGAUUUGAAAUGGGGCCUCACCAUCUGCCCAGGAGCUGCUACCCAGGGGCUCACCUCUUCUUCAGCAGCGAGCUGAAAUCCAGAGUUCCAGCGUCCUCGUGGCUGUCACUACGGAGAGGGGCCCCAGUAAGGACCUCCCCAGCUGGAAGAGGCUUGGGGAGGUGGGGGUGGGGAGAGGUACUGGGAGAGGAAGGGACACUGUCUGGAUGGGGGGCUCCAUCUCAGACCCCCGAAGCCUGACGAGCAUGGGCUGGGAGAGGGGUACCUGAUCCGCCGACCACUUCCAGCCAGGCUCCUGUGGGGUUAGAACCAGUUCCUUCAGCUGCCCGGGGGAGCUUGCUGUCCCCCAUCACUAUCAACUUCAGCCCUGUCCCCCCACAGCCCCCCCCCCACAUCAUUCCCAGCCCUGACCCCGAGGGGCUUCAGAUCCCAGCACUGGCCUCCCCGCCGUCCCUGAGAAGAGAUGACCACUCACGUGCGGCGGAAAGCUGAUCGGAGGUCCAGGUCUCCAGGGCCAAUGGCCUCUGCGUUCAGAGAGGGAGAUGAGACAAGGAAGGGGCUUCAGAAGCCUGGGGCGAGGUACACCCCAGAAGCCUCGCUCACCCCGGAGUCUCCGCGUAUUACAGACCUGCCCAUCCAUGACCCUUGAGAGGGGGCAUCUGCCCCAGGACCCCACAUUCUGAGCCUUUCCAGAACUGAGGUACCAGGGAGUUUGGGUAGUUGAUGGUCCCCAGCCCCUUAGCGGUGGCUGAUCUCCCACGCAGCUCCCAGCUCACGCUUCACCUGUUCACCUGUGCCAGGAGCCUGGACCAUCUCACCAUCCAGGUGAGAUCUGGACUUGGCUGUCAGACCCCACCCCAACCCUGGGAACCUCCGUGGGUUUCUCUCGUGCCCCUGCAUGAGCAGCACUGGGCAUGUGGGCAGCGGUUGUCCUGUUGGGACUAGACAUCCUCCUUAGUGUUGGGAAAUGGAGGCAGACGUGGGGGAUAAGACCCAUGGGGACCUGAGCCCAGGACGCCAGGGCUCCCCUCACCAUGGACAGUGAGACUGAAGUUGCAGCUGUCAAAUUUGUCCUUGGUGGAAACCUCACAGCGGUAGCCACCUGCGAAAGUAGUCUGGGCAUCUGUAAUGUGCAGCUCAAACAGGUAGACCUGUAGAAGGAAGGUAUCAGGGGAGACCAGGGACCAGAAGAGAAGGCCCUUCACUCCUAAAGGAGACUGGGAGUGGCUAAUGGCCAUCAACAUUUUCACCCCUCAGGGU